UACGUAGGGACCGAGCGUUGUCCGGAUUCAUUGGGCGUAAAGGGUGCGUAGGUGGCGGGGUAAGUCGGAUGUGAAAUCCCGGGGCUCAACCCCGGAACUGCAUUCGAUACUGCCUUGCUCGAGUACUGGAGAGGAGAUUGGAAUUUACGGUGUAGCAGUGAAAUGCGUAGAUAUCGUAAGGAAGACCAGUGGCGAAGGCGAAUCUCUGGACAGUUACUGACACUGAGGCACGAAGGCCAGGGGAGCAAACCGG
rnacentral:rRNA from 1 species